AUGCUCGGAGAGGGUCAACUGGACCUCUCCUCCGCUCUGCCGUUCGUGGAACACAACCGUGGUGCCCAGCCCUUGGGAGCCUUGGAGCCAGCGGGCCUGCUGCUCUCCACCCUUUGUUUAAAAAACAAUUCAAAAUGUGAAACUAGAGAGGAAAGAGACAGCAUAGAAUGCAGCGCACACGGCCGCUCCAGUUCCCAGGGGCGCUGGGGAUGCGUCCAAAGUGGUUGAGACAGAGUCGGAAACCCUCACCAACUGGCCUCUUCACCUUCCGCCUUAUCCUGCUGCCACUGGCUGCCCUGUCUCACUGCAGAUUCAGAACCAGCUUGGGCUCCGUGCGUUCUGCCUUGCCAGCCGGCCGAGGAUGUAGUUGUUGCUGCCAUCAUCCUACCACCUCAGGGACCAGAGGGCUAGGUUGGCACUGCGGCCCUCACCAGGUCCUGGGCUCGGACCCAACUCCUGGACCUUUCCAGCCUGUAUCAGGCUGUGGCCACACGAGAGGACAGCGUGAGCUCAGGAGAGGCUUAGUGACAAUGUACGCCUUUCCCUCAGAAUUCAAGGAAGAGACUGUUGCCUGCCUUCCUCCAUCUUAGCGUGAGAACCCGUGUGUCCCUUCCCACCACAUCCACCCUCUCCAUUUUUGAACUCAAACACGAGGAACUAACUGUGCCCUAGUCCUCUCCCCAGUCCCCAAUUCACCCGCCAUCCCUCACCUUCCUCCACUCUUAAGGGAUAUCAACACUGCCCAGCACAGGGGCCCUGAAUUUAUGUGGUUUUUGUAUGUUUUUUAAUAAGAUGCACUUUAUGUCAUUUUUUAAUAACGUCUGAAGAAUUAUUGUUUAAUCCUGGCUCUUCCUCUUCAAGGAUAGUUGCUUUUUGAGGUUGGUCUAGUUCUCUGAGUUCUGAGGGGUUCUGAACCUUCUCUGUGCAGGGUCCAGUGAGCCACAGUCAGCCUAGCCUGGCCAGCAACAUCUCCCUGUGGGGCGGCUCUGAGGUGGGGAACUUAAGCCACUGAUAGGCAGAGGCAGGGGGUUCAUUGCAUUUACCUCAACCCCUUUAUUCUGCAUCCCCAAUUCAGUUUAGCAAGGGUAGGGACACAAGGGUUGGGAUGGGAUGGGAUGGGGGCCCUUUGUUAAAGUUUUUAAUUUUUCAAAUCGUGCAGUAAAAUAGACUUUAUUGA